rnacentral:rRNA from 4 species
AGAGUUUGAUCAUGGCUCAGAUUGAACGCUGGCGGCAGGCCUAACACAUGCAAGUCGAACGGUAACAGGAAGCAGCUUGCUGCUUUGCUGACGAGUGGCGGACGGGUGAGUAAUGUCUGGGAAACUGCCUGAUGGAGGGGGAUAACUACUGGAAACGGUGGCUAAUACCGCAUAAUGUCGCAAGACCAAAGAGGGGGACCUUCGGGCCUCUUGCCAUCAGAUGUGCCCAGAUGGGAUUAGCUUGUUGGUGAGGUAACGGCUCACCAAGGCGACGAUCCCUAGCUGGUCUGAGAGGAUGACCAGCCACACUGGAACUGAGACACGGUCCAGACUCCUACGGGAGGCAGCAGUGGGGAAUAUUGCACAAUGGGCGCAAGCCUGAUGCAGCCAUGCCGCGUGUAUGAAGAAGGCCUUCGGGUUGUAAAGUACUUUCAGCGGGGAGGAAGGUGUUGUGGUUAAUAACCACAGCAAUUGACGUUACCCGCAGAAGAAGCACCGGCUAACUCCGUGCCAGCAGCCGCGGUAAUACGGAGGGUGCAAGCGUUAAUCGGAAUUACUGGGCGUAAAGCGCACGCAGGCGGUCUGUCAAGUCGGAUGUGAAAUCCCCGGGCUCAACCUGGGAACUGCAUUCGAAACUGGCAGGCUUGAGUCUUGUAGAGGGGGGUAGAAUUCCAGGUGUAGCGGUGAAAUGCGUAGAGAUCUGGAGGAAUACCGGUGGCGAAGGCGGCCCCCUGGACAAAGACUGACGCUCAGGUGCGAAAGCGUGGGGAGCAAACAGGAUUAGAUACCCUGGUAGUCCACGCCGUAAACGAUGUCUACUUGGAGGUUGUGCCCUUGAGGCGUGGCUUCCGGAGCUAACGCGUUAAGUAGACCGCCUGGGGAGUACGGCCGCAAGGUUAAAACUCAAAUGAAUUGACGGGGGCCCGCACAAGCGGUGGAGCAUGUGGUUUAAUUCGAUGCAACGCGAAGAACCUUACCUGGUCUUGACAUCCACAGAACUUUCCAGAGAUGGAUUGGUGCCUUCGGGAACUGUGAGACAGGUGCUGCAUGGCUGUCGUCAGCUCGUGUUGUGAAAUGUUGGGUUAAGUCCCGCAACGAGCGCAACCCUUAUCCUUUGUUGCCAGCGGUCCGGCCGGGAACUCAAAGGAGACUGCCAGUGAUAAACUGGAGGAAGGUGGGGAUGACGUCAAGUCAUCAUGGCCCUUACGACCAGGGCUACACACGUGCUACAAUGGCGCAUACAAAGAGAAGCGACCUCGCGAGAGCAAGCGGACCUCAUAAAGUGCGUCGUAGUCCGGAUUGGAGUCUGCAACUCGACUCCAUGAAGUCGGAAUCGCUAGUAAUCGUGGAUCAGAAUGCCACGGUGAAUACGUUCCCGGGCCUUGUACACACCGCCCGUCACACCAUGGGAGUGGGUUGCAAAAGAAGUAGGUAGCUUAACCUUCGGGAGGGCGCUUACCACUUUGUGAUUCAUGACUGGGGUGAAGUCGUAACAAGGUAACCGUAGGGGAACCUGCGGUUGGAUCACCU